rnacentral:lncRNA from 1 species
GUCAUCUUGGCUCCCAAAGUGAGAAGGCUGAAGUCUCUUCAUGCUGAGGAAACUGUUUUUAUGCCAAAGCCGAGGACACUGGGGCCCAUGGGCUCCAUGUCUGACACAACUGUCAGAGCCACAGCCCAGCCUUGCCUUUGUCUUCUAUCAUCCUUUCCAGCCCAGGGAGGUCACAACAUGACCUCCAUCUCUGCCCAUCUGUACCCCUCUCCAAAAGCUCACUGCCAGUUGGACUCAGCCAUACCGAGCAAUACAGAACCUCGGUUCUGAGCAUACAUUCGAGAACAGAGUUGACCGGACGGUCUCCGCAUGUGCUUCUUUCUGGCAUAGGACUUAACCUCUCUAAGCUUCAGUUUCAUAAUCUGUAAAAUAAAAUUAAUAAAAGCUCCUAGCCCACGUGAUUGUUGUGACAGUCUAGUGAGCUAAGGUGUGC